GACGAACGCUGGCGGCGUGCUUAACACAUGCAAGUCGAACGGAAAGGCCCUGCUUUUGUGGGGUGCUCGAGUGGCGAACGGGUGAGUAACACGUGAGCAACCUGCCCUUGACUUUGGGAUAACUUCAGGAAACUGGGGCUAAUACCGGAUAGGAGCUCCUGCUGCAUGGUGGGGGUUGGAAAGUUUCGGCGGUUGGGGAUGGACUCGCGGCUUAUCAGCUUGUUGGUGGGGUAGUGGCUUACCAAGGCUUUGACGGGUAGCCGGCCUGAGAGGGUGACCGGCCACAUUGGGACUGAGAUACGGCCCAGACUCCUACGGGAGGCAGCAGUGGGGAAUAUUGCACAAUGGGCGGAAGCCUGAUGCAGCAACGCCGCGUGCGGGAUGACGGCCUUCGGGUUGUAAACCGCUUCCGCCUGUGACGAAGCGUGAGUGACGGUAAUGGGUAAAGAAGCACCGGCUAACUACGUG
rnacentral:rRNA from 1 species